AUAUAUAUAUUACUUUUAAAAAAUAAAUUAUCCCGCGGUAUACCGCGGGUUAAAAUCUAGUCUUUUUUAUUACACAAGAUACAAUCU
rnacentral:sRNA from 1 species